GAGAACCCAGACAAAACGACAAAGCACGAUUAAUUAAUUAAUCCAGAAAAUCGAAAUGUACAGACUCGUAUAGGACUUAUAUUUAAUUAUUUGAAAACAGUGAACUUACAAUCUUUGAGAAUAUUCUGAAUUCUUAAUAAUAUACUACGAUUGGAUGUCGUAAUCAAAACACUUCUAAUUUGUCGUUAUAAUUUUAUACAAAAUUCCUGUUUAAGAUGACAGUAACUUACUGAUGUGAAUAAUUUAAAUAAAUCCAGAUAAUUAUUUUGCGUAUAUAUAGAAUAAAAAUCAGUUUUUGUGUAUCAGAACAGAGAUUCUCUAUAUGAAUUUUGCAUUUUACUGUAGGAAUAUGCCAAAAUAGAAUUGCAUACACUCAUUAUAAAGCGUGAAAAUAGAAAGUAUUUGUGACGCAAUCGCAAUGUAAACCGAAACCGAAACAGAAAACACAGCAUGUAUAGAUUGAUGUUCAGUUGUGAAUGAAGUCUUGAAUCAGACUAUUCGUGUAGAUUUCGUGCUUAUAUAUUUGAUGAAUGACGGCAUUUUAGCUUCGUCUAAUGUAUACAAGCACUUCAGCCAAUUUUUUAAAAAUUGGCUUCCAUUGAAAUUCUACUGGCAAAGAAAUAUUACCCUAUUCCAUUCAUUGACCUUAAAAUUACCAUUGUAUGGAAUACAACCCACAAAAAUGCAAGUUGCCACAGAAAUUGAAAAUAGACAAAUAGGAGAAUGGAUCGGUUAUAUUACACCAUUUGAUGUAUUGCUCAUAUGGUUUGUCUCAACAUUCAUGAUAUAAUGAGAGGAUACUGUAUUAAGAAAUGUAGUAUAUAAAUGUGAAACAGCAUAUAUACUGUAGUAAAAUAUAUAACUUUAAAUGUAACUUAGGCUUAUUACA